GAUGAACGCUGGCGGCGUGCCUAAUACGUGCAAGUCGAGCGAACAGAUGAGGAGCUUGCUCCUCUGACGUUAGCGGCGGACGGGUGAGUAACACGUGGAUAACCUACCUAUAAGACUGGGAUAACUUCGGGAAACCGGAGCUAAUACCGGAUAAUAUAUUGAACCGCAUGGUUCAAUAGUGAAAGACGGUUUUGCUGUCACUUAUAGAUGGAUCCGCGCCGCAUUAGCUAGUUGGUAAGGUAACGGCUUACCAAGGCAACGAUGCGUAGCCGACCUGAGAGGGUGAUCGGCCACACUGGAACUGAGACACGGUCCAGACUCCUACGGGAGGCAGCAGUAGGGAAUCUUCCGCAAUGGGCGAAAGCCUGACGGAGCAACGCCGCGUGAGUGAUGAAGGUCUUCGGAUCGUAAAACUCUGUUAUUAGGGAAGAACAAAUGUGUAAGUAACUAUGCACGUCUUGACGGUACCUAAACAGAAAGCCACGGCUAACUACGUG
rnacentral:rRNA from 1 species